AAUCCGCAACGCUUCCGGUUGCUGCAAAUGAUACUAUUCGGACGCGCCAGAUUUAAAUUAGGCCUACAAGAAGGUUUUCGCUGAAAAGCUAGUGAAAUUUCAUUGUUUCCUUACACAGUGGUAUCAUAUGACUAAUAUAGCGCACGGAGUCGUGUGGAUUACAUUUAUGACGGUUUAAUGGUACUUUUGGUCCUUUUGGAGUUUGUCAUCAUCACCUGUCCGCGUCCAUCUGCGUUGUGUGGAAAAAAUCAUCUGUAAACAUCUCCUUCUCAAAGACACCAGUGCAUUAGAGACCGGAGGGGGCUGGAUCUCUCUUACCUGUCAGGAAAAGGAAAUAGCACAAGGAGAAGUCAAUACUCUCAAUGCAUUAUAGAAGAGCGUUUCUUUUCUUAAUACAUCUGCGGGAAACCACACACGGCUCAAGCCCGUGAGCUUCCCCACAAGGAUGGAAAACCCUUCGGCUGUUAAUUACCCCAGUCAGCUGUCAAACAUAUGAUGGAAUUGCAGACAAAUCUCAGAUGCUUUGAUUAAGUUCACGCCUAGCCUCAUUCACGCUGGGAUUAUCAGGUUCCUCGCCAUAAACCCGCCUGAAAGAGAAGUCGAGAAAGAGAAAGCGAGAAAUAAAACAAGGGGGAAGACGAGCGAGGGAGAACAAGAGCGGAGAGCACAUCAUAUUUCCAACAGCUGCUAAAUAUGACCACAUUAAUUAUAGAUUUCUCAGCCUCACACAUUUUUCUCCUGGGGGUAUUUUUAGAAAAGAGUGAGAGAUGUAUUAUUUCUUUAAGCGAGCUGACAGGUGUCGGGGGAAUAUGGACAUGUUCAUAGAGUUGUCAGCCCGCCGUGCCGCGUCUGUUCGUCGGUUAGGUCGGACAAGUAUCUAAUUAAAUCAAUCUUAGUCUUUAUAAUCACAGGUUUUUCAUUUCAGCAGGCAUCAGUCAUCCAAGAUAAGUACACAGUCUACCUAGAGAAGGACGAGGUGACGAGGAAUGGCAAGAUAAGGAGAGAGAGAGAGAGAGAGAGAGAUAGGCCUGUCCCAAAUGCCACAUUCAAUCCUCGAUGUCCUCUACUGAUUCUACACUUUAGUGACAUAAUGCUGCAUGGACUUUUGGCCUAUGUAUGCAUGUAUUUAAAAAAAAAUAAAAAAAUUUACCACAUACAAAAUCCAUAAUGUAUCUUUAACUACACUGAUUUAAGUAUCACAGUAACAUGAUACUAACAUGAACCGACACAUUCAAAUCUUUUGUUCCUGAAUCAGACUAUACUAGUUGCACUGUAUGUUUUUAAUUUACCAAAAAGAUCUAACUCAUUAGAGAAAUUCAUUUGGGAAUUUGAUUAAAUCUGAAUGCAUUUGAUUCACUCAUUAAAUG